rnacentral:rRNA from 2 species
AUGCAGCCAUGCCGCGUGUGUGAAGAAGGCCUUCGGGUUGUAAAGCACUUUCAGCGAGGAGGAAGGGUAGUGUGUUAAUAGCACAUUGCAUUGACGUUACUCGCAGAAGAAGCACCGGCUAACUCCGUGCCAGCAGCCGCGGUAAUACGGAGGGUGCAAGCGUUAAUCGGAAUUACUGGGCGUAAAGCGCACGCAGGCGGUUUGUUAAGUCAGAUGUGAAAUCCCCGCGCUUAACGUGGGAACUGCAUUUGAAACUGGCAAGCUAGAGUCUUGUAGAGGGGGGUAGAAUUCCAGGUGUAGCGGUGAAAUGCGUAGAGAUCUGGAGGAAUACCGGUGGCGAAGGCGGCCCCCUGGACAAAGACUGACGCUCAGGUGCGAAAGCGUGGGGAGCAAACAGGAUUAGAUACCCUG